AGUGCUGGUGCUGCUAAGACUCUGGUGGGUCCCCAAGACUUCCAGGAACCAAAGGGAGAUAUGGAAGCUACAUCUGACUGCUUUCCAAACCUAGAUACAACCCAAGCUCCUGGAGUAAACAUCCAACUCCGACAAGUCAUUGGGACCAGUAAUGGACGUUUGAGGUAGAAGGAACAUUUGGACUUUGUGUGAUUCUGGUUUGAAAACCCCAGUGCUCCAAGAUGUGAGUGAACAGAAGGAGUAUUGUGUCCCCAGAGCUGAGAGGGGCGCACCCACUGGGCCAGAGAACGGGGAUCCAGAAAUCAUACGAUGGCCAGGAUGCUGCUGGCAGGUUGCAUUGAGUUUUGAGAUUUUUGCCAGGACAAAACACUGAUUUAACAAGGAGAGGAUCCUAGAUAUCCACAGUUGGUCUCCAGGUCACUAUGUAGGUUUCAUUUCAUUUUCUUUUGAGUGACAAGAGAGGUGCUGAUAAAAGGCAGAGCCAGAUGAUUGACGUGUUACAUCAACAUGGUGAUCCAAUAGCACAGGAGAAGCAUCCAAAGCCAGAGAGGCCCGUGUUCCUCUUGGCUUCAAAGCUGGUGUCUGCCAGCCCAGAUUCAGAGCCCUAGAGAAAAAUGAGUAUCUGCAUAAUUAAAUCAAUGUCUCGUAUAUAAUGAAUAUCAAGUCGCAAAAGAACGCAAAGACCUGGCAACACAGUUCGAGACGGAGGCUGCCUGACUCCUUGGAAGUUUCCUCAGUUUCUUCCUCACAGAACGUUCCCCCUCCCCACUGUCCUCUCAUGUCUCACAGUGAGAAGGACACCAACCA
rnacentral:lncRNA from 1 species